rnacentral:rRNA from 1 species
GAUGAACGCUGGCGGCGUGCCUAAUACAUGCAAGUCGAGCGAACAGACGAGGAGCUUGCUCCUCUGACGUUAGCGGCGGACGGGUGAGUAACACGUGGAUAACCUACCUAUAAGACUGGGAUAACUUCGGGAAACCGGAGCUAAUACCGGAUAAUAUAUUGAACCGCAUGGUUCAAUAGUGAAAGACGGUUUUGCUGUCACUUAUAGAUGGAUCCGCGCCGCAUUAGCUAGUUGGUAAGGUAACGGCUUACCAAGGCAACGAUGCGUAGCCGACCUGAGAGGGUGAUCGGCCACACUGGAACGUGGACACGGUCCAGACUCCUACGGGAGGCAGCAGUAGGGAAUCUUCCGCAAUGGGCGAAAACCUGACGGAGCAACGCCGCGUGAGUGAUGAAGGUCUUCGGAUCGUAAAACUCUGUUAUGAGGGAAGAACAAAUGUGUAAGUAACUAUGCACGUCUUGACGGUACCUAAUCAGAAAGCCACGGCUAACUACGUG